GCAGCUUAGAGAGGCUGCCUUUCUCCACCUUUAAAGCCAGCAGGGGCAGUUUGAGUCCUUCCUUUGAGAGCAUCACUCUGACCUGGUCUGCGGAUUCCCUCUUCCACUGUAAGGAUGCCGGGGACUCUGUUAGGCCCUCCUGGAAAUCCAGAAUGAUUCCCUUAUUUUAAGGUCAGCUAAUUAUCAGCCUUCAUUCCCAUUUUCCAUGUCUUUGAAUAUGUUUGUGUGUGUGCACGUGCGCUAAGUUGCCAAAGAAUGUGGGCAACCUCUAGAAGCUGGAAAAGACAAGGAAACAGAUUUGCCCCUGGAGCCUCCGAGCACAAGUCCAACGUCACAGAACCCAGGUCCAUUGAAACCAUACAUCAUCGUCAUCAUCUAGAGCCUCCAGAAGAAACAGCCUUGACGACACCUCGCUUUUAGCCCCAUAAGACUCAUUUUGGACUUCUGACUUCCAGAGCUGCUAGGGACACGGAUUUGCAGCGUAUGCUCAGCAGCCAGUGACGGCCUCCAGUUCUAAGAGAAAAAUGGAUGCUUUGGUUCCCAGCCAUUCUGCUAGAGAACCGAAGAUCACUGCAGUUUGAUUUUUAUAGACUCUGUACCACUCUUGCAGCCUGGGACUCUGAGGUGCAAACUUGGCCAGGCCAGCGAGGUCAUUUUCAGGGUGAGUUUGUUUACUUUAAAGCCCAUACUGCCAGUUGGGUCAGAUUUUUACGUGAUGAUUUUGUGUUCUGCAUAUAAGGAAGUACUACGGCUCGUUGACCUCUGUGAAUAUGCCCAAAACAUCUUGCUCCAGAAUAAACUCUUGCUUUGCUGAUGAAAUGAAACAUGCUGGGGCCACACUCAGAAUAGAAUGUCCUUGGCCCGGUGAUCCCUGUGAGCCGCUGACAGGAGCCGGAGAGCGGACACUGCCACGCUCCGUACUUGGAGCUCCUGACCGAGGGCAAGAGCCUUCAGAACACGAAGCCGAAAGCUGUGCUGAGAGACAGGCAGUGGGGGUAUGCUCAGGCUCCCUGGACUAUUUACAGCGAGUACACACUCUCCUGCAGCAUUUGAGAAGUGGCGGUGGAGGGCCAGUUUGGCGCAGGAGGGGAGGAAAAACAGUCACAACUCAGACCUUCUACCCAGAGCAGUUUAGGUUGUUCUACGUGGAAAAUGGAAGUUGUGUGAAAAUCUGCUCAGGACACACAGGCAGGCUGACCAUCACUAGUGAACUGUGUGGCCCAAGCAUCCUUUUUAUGCGGAAUGUGGAGGUUAGGCUGUCGGGGGAGCUUUCAGGUCACUUUCAGAUUUUUAGUCCAAGGAAAGGAGAGGUGUAGGGGCUUCCCAAGUGGCGCUAGUAGUAAAGAACCUGACUGCCAGUGGAGGGGACAUAAGAGAUGUGAGUUUGAUCUCUGGGUUGGGAAGAUCCCCUGGAGGAGGGCAGGGCAACGCACUCCAAUAUUCUUGCCUGGAGAAACUCAUGGAUAGAGGAUCCUAGUGGGCUAUAGUGCAUGGCGUCGCCAAGAGUUGGACAUAACUUGCUGAGAUUAUUUUGCUCAGUGUAUUGAGCCAUGUUCUUCAGCUGCAAGCAACAGAAACUCUCUGGAAAUUUGUUGGCAGGCUUUCGGGGGCGCUCAUAUUGUAGGAACCAUGGAAGGAUACAGGUGCCGCUUGGAGGUGCAGAGCAAUAGGGUUUAUUCAGCACCGGUGCAGGCUCAGUGGGGUCGCCUCCAGAGGCUGAGUGCCCACACUUUGUUCUGGGUAUCUUUUAUACACCGCAAACUUCCAAGUCUUUAGGGUUUUCCCGCUCAAACAGCUCAGAUUCUUCCCCUCCCCAGGCAGCCCAACUUCCCGCCAAGCAAACAAGAUCACAGAAGCGAAAGCAGGGAAUGAUGAGCAGCAGCUGUUAAAGCAAGAUAAAAGAAGCAGAAAGCAAAAGGUUGUUACUCUAAUUGGGGUCUUUGAUCUCACUCCCAUCUCAGAGGAUCAGAAGAAAAGCUGAAUUUCUGCAAAGGAGGGGACCCAGGACAGCUCUGGGGACCUGGGUGCUUGCUUAGUCGCUUACUUGUGUCCGACUCCUGCAAGGCUGCUCUGUACAUGGGGAUUCUUCAGGCAAGAAUACUGGAGUGGGUUGCCAUGCCCUCCUCCAGGAGAUCUUCCCAACCCAGGCAUCAAACCUAGGUCUCCCACAUAGCAGGCAGAUUCGUUACCAUCUGAGCCACCAGGGAAACCUGGGGACCUGGGUUAAGUUCAGUUCAGUUCAGUUCAGUUGCUCAGUCGUGUCUGACUCUUUGCGACCCCAUGAAUCACAGCACGCCAGGCCUCUCUGUCCAUCACCAACUCCUGGAGCCCACCCAAACCCAUGUCCAUAGAGUCAGUGAUGCCAUCCAGCCAACUCAUCCUCUGUCGUCCCCUUCUCCUCCUGCCCCCAAUCCCUCCCAGUGUCAGGGUCUUUUCCAAUGAGUCAAUUCUUCGCAUGAGGUGGCCAAAGUAUUGGACCUGUGUAACAUCACUUAAACCCACUCCAGUGUUCUUGCCUGGAGAAUCCCAGGGACAGGGGAGCCUGGUGGGCUGCCAUCUAUGGGGUCGCACAGAGCAGGACACGACUGAAGUGACUUAGCAGCAGCAGCAGCAGCUGCAACAUCACUUAAAUGCUGUCUCUGGAACUUUACCGACAUGUCCAUCAAAGCCUAACCUUUUUCUGGCCUUGUAUCACCCUAUUCUGCACCCUAUUGCUUCUGCAAUGGCUCAUAAUGGCUCGUCUGGUAAAGAAUCCACCGACAAUGCAGGAGACACAGGAAAUGCAGGUUUGAUCCCUGGGUCAGAAAGGUCCCCUGGAGAAGGAAAUGGCAACCCACUUCAGUGUUCUUGCCUGGAGAAUUCCAUAGACAGAAGAGCCUGGCAGACUACCGUCCAUGCAGUUGCAAAGAGUCAGACAUGAAAGAGUGCAUGAGGGCAUGCCCUAUUUUAGCUUUGAAAUUUCUGGGUGACCUAGGGUCUAACUGACUGUAUCUUAGGUGCAGUACACACUCGUUGGGCAAUGGAGCACAGGGUGCCUGGAUUAAUAGGCCCAUUAAGACAUGCAGUGUGAGGGGUGGGUAGGGAGAAAAGGGGAAGAACAACGCCCCAAAAGAAAGGUGUGUUGUUAUCCGAAAAGGGGGGCAUAAAUGCUGGAUGGGCUAAUGU
ensembl:lncRNA